CAUCAUCUUUCUUUAUUCUCCAUGAUCCAUUGUCUUCCACUUUGUCUCCUACCAUAUCCUCUAUUAAGUUUUCCUCCAUUGGCCAUACAAAGAAGAUCAAAUGGUUGGAGAACGAGGAGAUCAGAUUGUUGAAACUAGAGAGAGACUGAUUAAGAAAGAGAUAGAGAGAAAGAGAGAAGUCUUGUUUGAUUGAAAAAUUGGCCAAAACUUCCAUUCUUGAAGCUAUACACUGUUAUAGCUCAUUCUUCAUUACCAAAAUGAUCCAAAAAUUCAUUAUAAUUAGAUUAUAGAGUCUUGAUCAAAGAGAGAGUGAUUGUGGUUGAAAGUAAGAAAAUCAGAGAGCUAAUUAGUUUCCCCUACACAGACUGUUAAACAAUCCGAGUCACCAUUCUAGCAAUAAUCUGAAGUUUUCAAAUUGAGGAUUAAGAACAUAAUUCACAACCUUGAGGGUGACCAAAAGGAAGUUUGGAAAUCAAGAAGUUUAUCAUUUCCUUGAAAGCAAAAAAGGUUUUUGCCAAGCCUUGUUGGCCAGUCAACUAAGUUUUUGGUCGGCCGACCAAUUUCUUUUAGACAAAAUCAUGUAGUCUUUCGUUGACGAGCAGAGAAGUUUCCGGUGGUCUCUAAAGCACAUGAAGUUUCUAUUUUUAUUUUAAUUUGAUAGAUUUGUGAGGUUUUAUUUUGUUGUAAUAUUUUCUUCCUGUCCUCCCUUAUUCGGAUAUAUAAUUAUUCAAAGUGUUGUAAUAACUCACCCCGCUUCUUUCUAUCC